rnacentral:rRNA from 1 species
UAACGCGUGGAUAACCUGCCGUAUACAGGGGGAUAACACUUAGAAAUAGGUGCUAAUACCGCAUAAGCGCACAGCUUUGCAUGAAGCAGUGUGAAAAGCAAAAAGUUAAAACUUUUAGCGGUAUACGAUGGAUCCGCGUCUGAUUAGCCAGUUGGCGGGGUAACGGCCCACCAAAGCGACGAUCAGUAGCCGGCCUGAGAGGGCGGACGGCCACAUUGGGACUGAGACACGGCCCAGACUCCUACGGGAGGCAGCAG